GAAUGCACCUUUCAUGAGGGCAGGGCUUUAUCUUCUUGCUCACUUCUGUUUCUCCCUGAGCCAGUACACACCUGCUCCUCAGUAAGCCCGUGUUGAAUGAAUAUGGAAGGAAUGGGGGCCAGAUCCCAAGCAGUCCUUCAAAGUUGGUCCCACAAAACUUCUUCUAGGGAGCCCCAGGGCAGGGGGCCAGUGCUGACCUGAGGACCUGCUGGCACUGGUGGGCUGUGGCUGGUGGUGUCAGCUCUCAGCAAGGGGCUAAUGUGGACCCUGGAGUCCACCCCACCCGUUUCCCUCAGUUACUAGUGGACUAGUUACUCAUCCCCUCUGGGCCUCCCUUUUCUCCUGUGGAAAAUGAGAGAAUAGCAAUUACCUCGCAGGGCUUUUAUGAGGGUGAAAUAGGAUAAUUUAUGUAAAACAGGGCUCAGGGCUGGCUUGGAGUAAAGCUGUCCAGAUGGUAGCUAUUAUUAUUGUUGUUGUUAGUGUCAUACCCAGUGCCUUUCUUCAGUGCUUGAAUGGGGUGCCCAAGGAACUUGGGGGUGGUGGUGAGGAGACAAGGAAGUCAAGGGAAGUAAAGAGCUGGAAUGGAGUAAUGGUGUGCGUGUGCGUGUGCGUGUGUACACACACGUAUGAGUGAGUGCUCGCUCCUGGAAAGGGGGUGGCGAGUUUUCUGAGAGCGCGCUCCUUUCUCGGAGCUCAGCUCUGGGGUGCCGGUCGCCCUGGCUCUGCCAGAGAGCCCAGAGCCGCUUUGCUCCGGUGCUCGGGACGCAGAAAAAACC
rnacentral:lncRNA from 1 species